rnacentral:rRNA from 1 species
CCUACGGGUGACAGCAGUGAGGAAUAUUGGUCAAUGGACGAGAGUCUGAACCAGCCAAGUAGCGUGAAGGAUGACUGCCCUAUGGGUUGUAAACUUCUUUUGUCAAGGGACAAAAUCAGGCUCGAGAGCCUGACCGAGGGUACUUGAAGAAAAAGCAUCGGCUAACUCCGUGCCAGCAGCCGCGGUAAUACGGAGGAUGCGAGCGUUAUCCGGAUUUAUUGGGUUUAAAGGGUGCGUAGGCGGACUGUUAAGUCAGCGGUAAAAGCCCGGGGCUCAACCCCGGCGAGCCGUUGAAACUGGCUGUCUUGAGAUGUCGAGAGGUAUGCGGAAUGCGCAGUGUAGCGGUGAAAUGCUUAGAUAUUGCGCAGAACUCCGAUUGCGAAGGCAGCAUACCGGCGGCGAUCUGACGCUGAGGCACGAAAGCGUGGGUAUCGAACAGGAUUAGAUACCCUUGUAGUC